rnacentral:RNase_MRP_RNA from 1 species
GGGACGAUUUGCAACGGAGGUCAGACACGGAUCGGAGCACUUCGUGCGUCCAUCAACGAUAUCCUCCGGGGAAAGUCCCCGGACACUGCGGCAGAGAGUGCCAG